rnacentral:lncRNA from 1 species
AGAAACUUUCCUGCGCUUCUCCUCCUGUUCUAUUCCCUUCCUCCGUCUUUAGCUCUUACUUCUCUUGGUCUACACUGCUCUGAAAGUAGUCUUUUUUUUUUUCCUUCAAGUUUUCUAGGCCAAUGAUUCCAGUGGGCAGAGAAAGAGGAGGCUUCAUAGGAACCAGAGCAGCUGUUUCUACUCUCUGUCUCUCUCUUCAGGCCUCAACCCAGAGCCAAGCUCCUCCAGGAAGCCUGAGUCAUCCUGAGUUCCUUGAAUCUCAGAAACAGGGGCUGACCAUGGUGGGGCUGUGUGUUUCUCAAGCAGUGCCCAGAUGUGUAGUUUCCAAAACAGUUUACCUCUCAUGGAACAAGGAAAUAAACAAAGAAAAAGAAAGAUAUGAAAUCCAGGAAGCAGAAGACGCAACAUAGGACAGAGAUGAAGGGAUGGUGAAAAGGAAUUCCAGAGCCACAUCUGUACAGCAGGCAUGGAGAACCACCAGUUCAGAACUGGAGGACAGAGAAAUCUGGGAGAGUUGCCCCAGGAGGGCAGACAUGAAGCAAAAACAAUGAUUUCCUCAUACACUUGAUCUUACAAAAAGUUGUGCUAUUGGAAAGAGAAGGGAGAUUUAGCAGUAGAUAGAAGCUGAACAAAUGAAAACAAAAAGACGUAGUUAGGUACAGGAAAAAAUUAAAAAAUGAACACACAAAAGUCGUGAACAUUGUAUGCUCAGGGUUUCUCAGAUAACAGAGUGUAUACAGUAUACAAAGUAAUAAUGUAAAUGUAAUUUAAAAAGUGAAUUUAAUCCAAAGUUAGUGAUUUUGGUGGCAAUGCAAGGAGAUUUCCGAGGGAAAUAAUCAGGUGUCAUAAUAGAAAAUUAAUCAUUAGAUGUGAGUAUGUGGUUUUUGGUGGUAGAGCACUUGACUGACAUCAUCAAGGCCUGGGUUUGAGCCCCGGUAUCACGAAAAGAAAAACUUCACUCAUUUACUGUUUCAAGAGAGAAGACUAUAAACAUGAAAAUAUAUUCUAUUCCAAAACAAACAAAUAAGAACUGUAUUUUAAGAACUGCGUUGGAGUUAAGACCAGUGCAAGAUACCAGUUGUGAGCUUUUGAUUGCUAUUUGACUUGUGACAUUCUGUGCUUAUUUCAAUUGAUCAAAAAUUGAAAGAACUAGAGAUGUAGUUUAAUGGUACAGUGCUUGACUAGGAUGUGCAAGGCCC